UACGGAGGGUGCAAGCGUUAAUCGGAAUUACUGGGCGUAAAGCGUGCGCAGGCGGUUUGUUAAGUCCGUUGUGAAAGCCCCGAGCUCAACUUGGGAAUUGCAGUGGAUACUGGCAGGCUGGAGUACGGUAGAGGAAGGUGGAAUUCCCGGUGUAGCAGUGAAAUGCGCAGAUAUCAGGAGGAACACCGGUGGCGAAGGCGGGUCUCUGGGCAGUAACUGACGCUGGAGGAGCGAAAGCGUGGGGAGCGAACAGG
rnacentral:rRNA from 1 species